AGGUUACUGCUAUCGGUGUUCGCUUAAGCCAUGCGAGUCAUAUGUUCUUCGUGAACAUGGCGUACUGCUCAGUAACACGUGGAUAACCUGCCCUUGGGUCCGGCAUAACCCCGGGAAACUGGGGAUAAUUCCGGAUAACGCACAUAUGCUGGAAUGCUUUAUGCGCCAAAUGGAUUCGUCCGCCCAAGGAUGGGUCUGCGGCCUACCAGGUAGUAGUGGGUGUAAUGUACCUACUAGCCUACGACGGGUACGGGUUGUGAGAGCAAGAGCCCGGAGAUGGAUUCUGAGACAUGAAUCCAGGCCCUACGGGGCGCAGCAGGCGCGAAAACUUUACAAUGCGGGAAGCCGUGAUAAGGGGACACCGAGUGCCAGCAUCAUAUGCUGGCUGUCCGGGUGUGUAAAAUACACCUGUUAGCAAGGGCCGGGCAAGACCGGUGCCAGCCGCCGCGGUAACACCGGCGGCCCGAGUGGUGAUCGUGAUUAUUGGGUCUAAAGGGUCCGUAGCCGGUUUGGUCAGUCCUCCGGGAAAUCUGACGGCUUAACCGUUAGGCUAUCGGAGGAUACUGCCAGACUUGGAACCGGGAGAGGUAAGAGGUACUACAGGGGUAGGAGUGAAAUCUUGUAAUCCCUGUGGGACCACCUGUGGCGAAGGCGUCUUACCAGAACGGGUUCGACGGUGAGGGACGAAAGCUGGGGGCACGAACCGGAUUAGAUACCCGGGUAGUCCCAGCCGUAAACGAUGCUCGCUAGGUGUCAGGCAUGGCGCGACCGUGUCUGGUGCCGCAGGGAAGCCGUGAAGCGAGCCACCUGGGAAGUACGGCCGCAAGGCUGAAACUUAA
rnacentral:rRNA from 1 species